ACGGGAGGCAGCAGUGAGGAAUAUUGGUCAAUGGACGGAAGUCUGAACCAGCCAAGUCGCGUGAAGGAAGAAGGUUCUAUGGAUUGUAAACUUCUUUUAUUCGAGGGUAAAGUGAGGUACGUGUACCUUAUUGCAAGUAUCGAAUGAAUAAGCAUCGGCUAACUCCGUGCCAGCAGCCGCGGUAAUACGGAGGAUGCGAGCGUUAUCCGGAUUUAUUGGGUUUAAAGGGUGCGUAGGCGGGAUGCUAAGUCAGUGGUAAAAGCGUGUGGCUCAACCAUACCGAGCCGUUGAAACUGGCGUUCUUGAGUGUAAACGAGGUAGGCGGAAUGUGACGUGUAGCGGUGAAAUGCUUAGAUAUGUCACAGAACACCGAUUGCGAAGGCAGCUUACCAGCAUACAACUGACGCUGAUGCACGAAAGCGUGGGUAUCAAACAGGAUUAGAUACCCUGGUA
rnacentral:rRNA from 1 species